rnacentral:tRNA from 1 species
CCUUCGAUAGCUCAGUUGGUAGAGCGGAGGACUGUAGCAGUUACACAGUGAUCCUUAGGUCGCUGGUUCGAAUCCGGCUCGAAGAA